rnacentral:rRNA from 1 species
CAAAAACAUAUCCUUGUGUUUUAUACAAGGUGAUGCCUGCCCAGUGUAGUAUUAACGGCCGCAGUACCUUGACUGUGCUAAGGUAGCAUAAUUAAUUGGCUUUUAAUUGGAGUCUGUAUGAAUGGCUAACUGGGGAGCUAUUUUCUUUUUUUUAAGUUUUAAUUUGUUCAGUUGGUGAAAAUACCAACGGUAAGAAAAAAGACGAGAAGACCCUAAGAGUUUAAAAAUAGUUUUGUUGGGGCAACACUGAGACAAUUAACUCUCGGAUAAAAGUGAUAUAAUCCAUAAUAAUAUACUAAAAAAACUACCUUAGGGAUAACAGCGUUAUUUAAAAAAGUUUGCGACCUCGAUGUUGGACUAAGGUAUCUUGGACUAGACGUUCAAGUUUUUAGCUCUGUUCGAGCUGUAAACCUUACAUGAUCUGAGU